GACGAACGCUGGCGGCGUGCCUAAUACAUGCAAGUAGAACGCUGAAGGAGGAGCUUGCUUCUCUGGAUGAGUUGCGAACGGGUGAGUAACGCGUAGGUAACCUGCCUGGUAGCGGGGGAUAACUAUUGGAAACGAUAGCUAAUACCGCAUAAGAGUAGAUGUUGCAUGACAUUUACUUAAAAGGUGCAAUUGCAUCACUACCAGAUGGACCUGCGUUGUAUUAGCUAGUUGGUGAGGUAACGGCUCACCAAGGCAACGAUACAUAGCCGACCUGAGAGGGUGAUCGGCCACACUGGGACUGAGACACGGCCCAGACUCCUACGGGAGGCAGCAGUAGGGAAUCUUCAGCAAUGGACGGAAGUCUGACCGAGCAACGCCGCGUGAGUGAAGAAGGUUUUCGGAUCGUAAAGCUCUGUUGUAAGAGAAGAACGAGUGUGAGAGUGGAAAGUUCACACUGUGACGGUAUCUUACCAGAAAGGGACGGCUAACUACGUG
rnacentral:rRNA from 1 species